rnacentral:rRNA from 2 species
AUCAGUUUCUAACUAACAGGAUUCCCUUAGUAACUGCGAGUGAAGUGGGAAAAGCUCAAAUUUAAAAUCUGGCAGUCUGAAUUUACUUCUUUGGCUGUCCGAGUUGUAAUCUAGAGAAGUGCUACCUGUACUGGACCAUGUACAAGUCUCCUGGGAUGGAGCAUCACAGAGGGUGAGAAUCCCGUCUAUGACAUGGACUACCAGUGUGUUGUGGAGUACUUUCAAAGAGUCGAGUUGUUUGGGAAUGCAGCUCUAAAUGGGUGGUAAACUCCAUCUAAAGCUAAAUAUUGGCGAGAGACCGAUAGCGAACAAGUACCGUGAGGGAAAGAUGAAAAGGACUUUGGAAAGAGAGUUAAACAGUACGUGAAAUUGUUGAAAGGGAAACACUUGAUGUCAGCUGUGUUAGCUGGGGAUCAGCCUAGCUUUUUCGCUUGGCGCAUUUCCUGGUCUGACAGGCCAACAUCAGUUUCGGCUGCUGGAGAAAGGCAGAUGGAAUGUGGCACCUUUGGGUGUGUUAUAGCUUUCUGUCAGAUGUAGCAGCGGGGACUGAGGUAUGCAGUGCGCCGUAAGGCAGGGUUUCGACCACACUCGCACUUAGGAUGUUGGUUUAAUGGCAUCAAUUGACCCGUCUUGAAACACGGACCAAGGAGUCUAACAUGCCUGCGAGUAUUUGGGUGAUAAACCCUUGUGCAUAAUGAAAGUGAAAAUUGAGAUCCCUGUCAUGGGGAGCAUUGAUGCCCGGACUUGAGCUUUUAGCGAUGGAUCUGCGGUAAAGCAUGCAUGUUGGGACCCGAAAGAUGGUGAACUAUGCCUGAAUAGGGCAAAGCCAGAGGAAACUCUGGUGAGGCUCGUAGCGAUUCUGACGUGCAAAUCGAUCGUCGAAUUUGGGUAUAGGGGCGAAAGACUAAUCGACCAUCUAGUAGCUGGUUCUGUCGAGUUCCCCCUCAGGAAAACACCAGCUACUAGAUGGUUCGAUAGUCUUCGCCUUAUACCAAUCCGACCGAUCGAUUUGCCGUCGGAUUCGCUACGCUUCACAGAGCUUCCUCUGGCUUGCUAUCAGCUAGUUACAUUCUUUCGGGUCCAGUGCGUGCUACGCAAAUCUACGAAGACUAGCUCCGGACUGCAGCUCCAGUUA